AUUGAACGCUGGCGGCAUGCUUUACACAUGCAAGUCGAACGGCAGCGCGGGCUUCGGCCUGGCGGCGAGUGGCGAACGGGUGAGUAAUAUAUCGGAACGUACCCAAGAGUGGGGAUAACGUAGCGAAAGUUACGCUAAUACCGCAUACGAUCUAAGGAUGAAAGCAGGGGAUCGCAAGACCUUGUGCUCCUGGAGCGGCCGAUAUCUGAUUAGCUAGUUGGUGAGGUAAAGGCUCACCAAGGCAACGAUCAGUAGCUGGUCUGAGAGGACGACCAGCCACACUGGAACUGAGACACGGUCCAGACUCCUACGGGAGGCAGCAGUGGGGAAUUUUGGGACAAUGGGGGCAACCCUGAUCCAGCAAUGCCGCGUGAGUGAAGAAGGCCUUCGGUGUAAGACUCUUUGUUCAGGGAGAAAAGGACUGUGGCGUAAUAUCCACAGCUGCUGACGGUACCUGAAGAAUAAGCACCGG
rnacentral:rRNA from 1 species